rnacentral:rRNA from 1 species
CAUGCAAGUCUACUUGAUCCUUCGGGUGAAGGUGGCGGACGGGUGAGUAACGCGUAAAGAACUUGCCUUACAGACUGGGACAACAUUUGGAAACGAAUGCUAAUACCGGAUAUUAUGACUGAGUCGCAUGAUUUGGUUAUGAAAGCUAUAUGCGCUGUGAGAGAGCUUUGCGUCCCAUUAGUUAGUUGGUGAGGUAACGGCUCACCAAGACGAUGAUGGGUAGCCGGCCUGAGAGGGUGAACGGCCACAAGGGGACUGAGACACGGCCCUUACUCCUACGGGAGGCAGCAGUGGGGAAUAUUGGACAAUGGACCAAAAGUCUGAUCCAGCAAUUCUGUGUGCACGAUGAAGUUUUUCGGAAUGUAAAGUGCUUUCAGUUGGGAAGAAGUCAGUGACGGUACCAACAGAAGAAGCGACGGCUAAAUACGUGCCAGCAGCCGCGGUAAUACGUAUGUCGCAAGCGUUAUCCGGAUUUAUUGGGCGUAAAGCGCGUCUAGGCGGUUUAGUAAGUCUGAUGUGAAAAUGCGGGGCUCAACCCCGUAUUGCGUUGGAAACUGUUAAACUAGAGUACUGGAGAGGUAGGCGGAACUACAAGUGUAGAGGUGAAAUUCGUAGAUAUUUGUAGGAAUGCCGAUGGGGAAGCCAGCCUACUGGACAGAUACUGACGCUAAAGCGCGAAAGCGUGGGUAGCAAACAGGAUUAGAUACCCUGGUAGUCCACGCCGUAAACGAUGAUUACUAGGUGUUGGGGGUCGAACCUCAGCGCCCAAGCUAACGCGAUAAGUAAUCCGCCUGGGGGAGUACGUACGCAAGUAUGAAACUCAAAAGGAAUUGACGGGGACCCGCACAAGCGGUGGAGCAUGUGGUUUAAUUCGACGCAACGCGAGGAACCUUACCAGCGUUUGACAUCCCAAGAAGUUAACAGAGAUGUUUUCGUGCCUCUCCGAAGGAACUUGGUGACAGGUGGUGCAUGGCUGUCGUCAGCUCGUGUCGUGAGAUGUUGGGUUAAGUCCCGCAACGAGCGCAACCCCUUUCGUAUGUUACCAUCAUUAAGUUGGGGACUCAUGCGAGACUGCCUGCGAUGAGCAGGAGGAAGGUGGGGAUGACGUCAAGUCAUCAUGCCCCUUAUACGCUGGGCUACACACGUGCUACAAUGGGUAGUACAGAGAGCUGCAAACCUGCGAGGGUAAGCUAAUCUCAUAAAACUAUUCUUAGUUCGGAUUGUACUCUGCAACUCGAGUACAUGAAGUUGGAAUCGCUAGUAAUCGCAAAUCAGCUAUGUUGCGGUGAAUACGUUCUCGGGUCUUGUACACACCGCCCGUCACACCACGAGAGUUGGUUGCACCUGAAGUAACAGGCCUAACCGUAAGGAGGGAUGUUCCGAGGGU